AACGAACGCUGGCGGCAGGCUUAACACAUGCAAGUCGAACGAGGCCUUCGGGCCGAGUGGCGCACGGGUGAGUAACGCGUGGGAACCUGGCCUUUGGUGGGGGAUAACUGCGGGAAACUGCAGCUAAUACCGCAUACGCCCCGGGGGAGACCCUGGGGGAAAGAUUCAUCGCCGAGGGAUGGGCCCGCGUCCGAUUAGGUAGUUGGUGGGGUAACGGCCCACCAAGCCGACGAUCGGUAGCUGGUCUGAGAGGAUGAUCAGCCACACUGGGACUGAGACACGGCCCAGACUCCUACGGGAGGCAGCAGUGGGGAAUAUUGGACAAUGGGGGCAACCCUGAUCCAGCCAUGCCGCGUGUGUGAUGAAGGCCUUAGGGUUGUAAAGCACUUUCGCCGGGGACGAUGAUGACGGUACCCGGAGAAGAAGCCCCGGCUAACUCCGUGCCAGCAGCCGCCGUAAGAC
rnacentral:rRNA from 1 species